rnacentral:rRNA from 1 species
UACUCCUUCGGGGGGGCAGCAGUAGGGAAUCUUCCGCAAUGGGCGAAAGCCUGACGGAGCAAUGCCGCGUGAGUGAUGAAGGUUUUCGGAUCGUAAAGCUCUGUUGCCAGGGAAGAACGCUUGGGAGAGUAACUGCUCCCAAGGUGACGGUACCUGAGAAGAAAGCCCCGGCUAACUACGUGCCAGCAGCCGCGGUAAUACGUAGGGGGCAAGCGUUGUCCGGAAUUAUUGGGCGUAAAGCGCGCGCAGGCGGUCAUGUAAGUCUGGUGUUUAAUCCCGGGGCUCAACCCCGGAUCGCACUGGAAACUGCGUGACUUGAGUGCAGAAGAGGAGAGUGGAAUUCCACGUGUAGCGGUGAAAUGCGUAGAGAUGUGGAGGAACACCAGUGGCGAAGGCGACUCUCUGGGCUGUAACUGACGCUGAGCGCGAAAGCUACCUUC